GACGAACGCUGGCGGCGUGCUUAACACAUGCAAGUCGAGCGGAGCGGCGAACGGGUGAGUAACACGUGGGUGACCUGCCCUCAGCUCUGGGAUAAGCCUGGGAAACUGGGUCUAAUACCGGAUAGCUGGGGAUGGGCCCGCGGCCUAUCAGCUUGUUGGUGGGGUGAUGGCCUACCAAGGCGACGACGGGUAGCCGGCCUGCGGGGGCGACCGGCCACACUGGGACGGAGACACGGCCCAGACUCCUACGGGAGGCAGCAGUGGGGAAUAUUGCGCAAUGGGCGGAAGCCUGACGCAGCGACGCCGCGUGGGGGAUGACGGCCUUCGGGUUGUAAACCUCUUUCGGCCUUGACGCGGUAGGGGUAGAAGAAGCACCGGCCAACUACGUGCCAGCAGCCGCGGUAAUUC
rnacentral:rRNA from 1 species